rnacentral:rRNA from 1 species
GACGAACGCUGGCGGCGUGCUUAACACAUGCAAGUCGAACGGAAAGGCCCCUUUGGGGGUACUCGAGUGGCGCACGGGUGAGUAACACGUGAGUAACCUGCCCUUGACUUCGGGAUAACUUCAGGAAACUGGGGCUAAUACCGGAUAGGAAUCCUUGCUGCAUGGUGGGGGUUGGAAAGCUUCGGCGGUUUUGGAUGGACUCGCGGCUUAUCAGCUUGUUGGUGGGGUAGUGGCUUACCAAGGCUUUGACGGGUAGCCGGCCUGAGAGGCGACCGGCCACAUUGGGACUGAGAUACGGCCCAGACUCCUACGGGAGGCAGCAGUGGGGAAUAUUGCACAAUGGGCGGAAGCCUGAUGCAGCAACGCCGCGUGCGGGAUGACGGCCUUCGGGUUGUAAACCGCUUUCAGCAGGGGCGAAGCUUGUGGUGACGGUACCUGCAGAAGAAGCACCGGCUAACUACGUG